CAAUAGCGUAUAUUUAAGUUGUUGCAGUUAAAAAGCUCGUAGUUGGAUUUCGGGUUGGCUUCAGCGGUCUCGCUUUGCGUUUGUACUGCCGCAGCCUUCCUUCUUGCUGGGGACGGUCCUCCGGGCUUCAUUGCUUGGGGUCUGGAAUCAGCGACGUUACUUUGAGUAAAUUAGAGUGUUCAAAGCAAGCCUACGCUCUGAAUAUAAUAGCAUGGGAUAACACGACAGGACUCUGGCCUACCGUGUUGGUCUGUAGGACCAGAGUAAUGAUUAAGAGGGACAGUCGGGGGCAUUCGUAUUCCGUUGUCAGAGGUGAAAUUCUUGGAUUUACGGAAGACGAACAUCUGCGAAAGCAUUUGCCAAGGAUGUUUUCAUUGA
rnacentral:rRNA from 1 species